GCUGGGUCUCCCCCCUCAGCUCUCCGCUUCUUUCCCUUCCCCCUUCCUCCGCCUUCCUCCCCCUCCCUCCUCCUCCCUGCCGGCCUCGGUCCGCGUACUUAAAGGCGCGGGCGGGCGCGGGCGGGCGGCCCAGCCGGGCGGUGGCAGAUGCACCCAGCAGUGGCAGCCGCCGGCGGCGCACAGGUGACCGGCCUGAGGCACAGCCUGAUCAGGGGGUGCCCGGGGAGAGCUGGCUGGAGAGGGAGGCCGAUCCGCCCCCAGCGCGCGCGCGUCUCGGCGCCAGGAACCGUCCCGGAGUGUGUUGGCGAGCACUGAUAUAGAUAUAAGGACAUUUCUCUCCAUGGCGUCACGUGACAUAAUUACCACCAGAAUCAAUCAAGAUGAAUAGCACGUCAGCUCCCGGUGGGGAUUUUUGCUUAAUUGAUCCUGGCCCAAGUCUCUUGUGCAAUCGAUGGCUCAGGUUGGCGGCGCGGGGAGCGGCCCGGGGCUCGCCGGCGCGCACGCCGCGGAGCCAUGAACGACUUUGACGAGUGCGGCCCGAGCGCAGCCAGCAUGUACUUGCCCGGCUGCGCCUACUAUGUGGCCCCGUCGGACUUCGCCAGCAAGCCGUCGUUCCUGUCACAACCGUCGUCCUGCCAGAUGACUUUCCCCUACUCUUCCAACCUGGCGCCGCACGUCCAGCCCGUGCGCGAAGUGGCCUUCCGCGACUACGGCCUGGAGCGCGCCAAGUGGCCAUACCGCGGCGGCGGCGGAGGCGGUGCAGGGGGCGGCGGCGGCGGCGGCCCCGGCGGGGGCGGCAGCGGCGGCGCCGGUAGCUACGCUCCCUACUACGCUGCAGCGGCGGCGGCGGCGGCGGCGGCGGCGGCCGAGGAGGCGGCCAUGCAGCGCGAGCUCCUCCCGCCCGCGGGUCGCCGUCCGGAUGUGCUCUUCAAGGCGCCGGAGCCGGUGUGCGCCGCGCCCGGGCCGCCGCACGGCCCCGCGGGCGCCGCCUCCAAUUUCUACAGCGCCGUGGGCCGCAACGGCAUCCUGCCGCAGGGCUUCGACCAGUUCUACGAGGCUGCACCCGGGCCCCCGUUCGCCGGACCGCAGCCCCCUCCGCCGCCCGCGCCGCCGCAGCCCGAGGGCGCCGCCGACAAGAGCAACCACAAGACGGCGGCCAGUGGCGGUGGGGGAAGUCCCUGCGCCAAGACGACCCCCGGCUCGGAGCCCAAGGGGGCGGCAGAGGGCGGCGACGGCGAGGUGCCCCCGGGGGAGGCGGGGGCUGAGAAGAGCGGCGGCGCAGUGGCCCCCCAGCGAUCCCGAAAAAAGCGCUGUCCCUACACCAAGUAUCAGAUCCGCGAACUGGAACGGGAGUUUUUCUUUAACGUGUACAUAAACAAAGAGAAAAGACUCCAACUUUCUCGGAUGCUCAACCUCACUGACCGGCAAGUCAAAAUCUGGUUCCAGAAUCGCAGAAUGAAAGAAAAGAAACUGAACAGAGACCGUCUGCAGUAUUUCACUGGAAACCCCUUAUUUUGAGAGCUCCAGGAAGCACCCCUCUCCCCUGAGCCCCACUCACCCACUCUCCUCCCCACCAGCCUGCCCUGGGCAGGCCCAAUGUCCUUGGGUUUAAUGACGCCUCUUCUCUGUGGAACUCCACGAUUCCUUCCCACGGUCAACUCGGGACCUCCCAGCGACCACUGCAGCCUGCGGACGAGGUCGGGGACUUGGCCGAACGGAUCCUAAUAAGGGGAAAAUGCAAGCUUGUAUGUCCACCACCGUAGGAGAGCCGAACCUAGAGAUACCAUUUCGCGUUUGCCUGGCCUUGGAGAGCCACACGGGGGCGUGCUCACGUUCCAGAAGCCGCAUUUGUCGGAGAGGCAGCGGUACCAUAUCUUUCCAAUACUGGAUUCUAAUACUGGAUUCUAAUAGCGGUUAGAAAUCGCUGAGGUGUUUGAUGUUUGUUUAUUCUAAGCAGCCAUGAGGUUGGGAAGUUGUAUAAAGACAGAGGAACGGGAGCAGAUUCCUGAAACGAGAUCACCUAAUCGUUGUCUUCUUAAAGAUAAAGCUGUUGCAAAAAAUACCUCGGUAUAACCUGGUGGUGUCGAGGAGAGGUUUUUAAAAGACAAAUAUGUGCAUUUCAAAAUAGGUCAUGCCACUGCGAGUUAAUUAAAUUACGGAAAUCAGUUUUCUUGGUGGUUUGAGUGUGGAGAGCCAUAGGAAGGUAGAACCACCCCUGCCCAAAACCGCGUCCGCCUUGCACGCUCUCCGACCGCCUGUGGUGAUUAAAAGGCUUUUGUUUAAGACAGAUCAGGGAGCCGGCAACUUAGCUGAGUGUGGUCUCAGAAAAAUGAGACGCGUGGGGACCUAGCGGGUCGUUCUGCACGAGGGAUCCCCCCACCCCCGGUCGUGCCUGGCGCUCGGGGCUACCGGUAGCACCGGGAGGCGUAGGCAGGACUGAGUUGGGGCGCCCGGGCCAGAUUGGGCUAAUGUGGUUGCGCGGAGCGUCAGGCAGUCCGGGAAAUGUUUAAACUUCAAGGCGUCGUGGAAUGGGGAAUGCAUUUGAAGCAAACGGGCUUUGCUUUUGACAGAACCCUGGCCAGCCUUCCAAGCCGUCUGCUGGCCUUGAGCGCCGAGUUUGAUUUUGGCACAAGCUCUUGGAAGCAGUUUUCUCACUGCGUGCCCUCCUCGACCCCACUCCCACCCUGAAAAGCCCCUGGCAUUGCAGAGGGCCUGUGCCACCAUCCGCCGUCCAAAAGGGAAGUUCCAAAAUGAAGGGUGGAAGUUCCAAAAUGAAGGGUGGCAGUUCUUUCUUUCCCGAAGUUCAUUGUAAGUACAUGCAACCUCGGAAUUAGUGAGGACCUCCUCAGCCCCGCUGUCUCUACUCCCUCCCUCCAGGCCCUGGACCGAAGACUCUGGGUCCACCCCUGGGAGUUGGCAUCUGCUUCAGUGGAGGCUGGGGGCCAUGAGUCUCCCCACCCUAUGGGAGGCGCCAGCCAGAGGCAUUGAUGUUCCCCACGCAUACCCUGGCUCCUGCCUGUCUGACCGUGGGCCCAGCUUAGCUAUUGUGAAUCGACAUUUCCGGGAGCCUAACCCGGGCCUCAGUCCAAUUGGGGUGAGAGCCCCCCUCCCCAAAUGUCAUUGCGUUCCUCUUUAGACAGCUCCAGUGGGGGCGCUUGUGGCCUUUCAGGGACCCUUGGCUUUGACUGGCAGCCUCCCCCAGAUCACGGAUGCUUAGCAAUCUGCAGUUCCUUUCCUCUCAGCAGCGCCCAAAUUGAGCCUGAAAAAGGUCAGGGAAUUGGAUCAGGACUCCUGGGGGCUGCAGACCUGACCCCUCUUGAUCAUUCGCAGUGUGUGGGGCUCAUAGAGCAUGGCCACAUGUCUUGAGUCGCUGACGUCUCAGAUCCUGAAGUGGAGGGAAAUUGGGAGAAGUAGUCUUUUGUGUCUGUAAAGGGAAGAGGUUCCUAGACUGCCGGUCCUUUUGCAUGUCUCCUUAGACCCCUCUUUGCAUUGGUGGUGGCUUCUCUAGCCUCCCCAGUUGCCCCCUUGACUUCUUUUCACAUUGGCUGGGAGAUGCACAGUGCAAUCCGGAAGGGUGCUCUGAGGAAGCAGCUUUUAAAAUUUCUGCCCAUCCACUCUGCCCCCCAAAAGUGGCACAGCCCUGAGAGGCCACUCAGGGCCCAAAUUCAGGGUGAACCUAGCCCCAGGUCCACUCAGGCCCAGGGCCGCUGCUCUUCUUCCCAGUGACAGGAGAGCAGAGAUACAAGCCAUUUCUUGAUUACAAAUGCUAAUUUCUUGCUAAAGCGACCCUUUUAA